rnacentral:rRNA from 1 species
GAUGAACGCUGGCGGCGUGCCUAAUACAUGCAAGUCGAGCGAACAGGCGAGGAGCUUGCUCUUCUGACGUUAGCGGCGGACGGGUGAGUAACACGUGGAUAACCUACCUAUAAGACUGGGAUAACUUCGGGAAACCGGAGCUAAUACCGGAUAAUAUAUUGAACCGCAUGGUUCAAUAGUGAAAGACGGUUUUGCUGUCACUUAUAGAUGGAUCCGCGCCGCAUUAGCUAGUUGGUAAGGUAACGGCUUACCAAGGCAACGAUGCGUAGCCGACCUGAGAGGGUGAUCGGCCACACUGGAACUGAGACACGGUCCAGACUCCUACGGGAGGCAGCAGUAGGGAAUCUUCCGCAAUGGGCGAAAGCUUGACGGAGCAACGCCGCGUGAGUGAUGAAGGUCUUCGGAUCGUAAAACUCUGUUAUUAGGGAAGAACAAAUGUGUAAGUAACUAUGCACGUCUUGACGGUACCUAAUCAGAAAGCCACGGCUAACUACGUG